UACAGAGGGGGCUAGCGUUAUUCGGAAUUAUUGGGCGUAAAGGGCGCGUAGGCGGCCACGCGUGUCUUUCGUGAAAUCCCUCGGCUUAACUGAGGACGUGCGGAAGAAACUGCGAGGCUUGAGUCCGGGAGAGGGGGGUGGAAUUCCCAGUGUAGCGGUGAAAUGCGUAGAUAUUGGGAGGAACACCGGUGGCGAAGGCGGGUCUCUGGGCCGAUACUGACGCUGAGGAGCGAAAGCGUGGGGAGCGAACAGG
rnacentral:rRNA from 1 species